UCUUUUCAGAGUAAGUAAUGCAUUUUGCAUAGCAUUUGAAUAACAAUUAAAAAACUCAUUAUGAAAUCAAGUUAAUCUAUUAUUUUUACAUGCCCAUUCACAGGAGAAUUUGGGCAAGCUGAUGACUAACUUGAGGAGCACCCAUCCUCACUUUGUACGCUGCCUGAUUCCCAAUGAGUCAAAGACUCCAGGUCUGAUGGAGAACUUCCUGGUCAUCCACCAGCUCAGGUGCAACGGUGU